AAGUCGUAACAAGGUUUCCGUAGGUGAACCUGCGGAAGGAUCAUUAACACAUCCUUUUAUAACUAUAAACAAUUUCGCACUCCCUGAGCCUGUUGGAGCGAAGUCUGCUUGAGCUAUGGUUGAUUUAUUUAGCUUGACAGAUAGCUAGCCGCUUUUGCGAGCUGGAACUUCGACUUCUUCGGGUAUACAGUCUCAACCAUGACUGGCCUUUUUUUCUUUUACUGUCUAAUCGGACUGAUUUAGAUGUGGAUUGAGCUGAGUCUUCUUUCGAGGAGGCAAAGUUCUCUGCAUCGCUCUUUAAACGGUAGUCUAACUACUAUUUAAUGAUAAACACAACUCUUAACAGCGGAUAUCUCGGUUCUC
rnacentral:misc_RNA from 1 species